CAUUAUUAAUCAUGUUUAUGUUCCUGUUUAUGACUGACUUGUUUAUGUCUGACUUGUUUAUUACUAGUUAACACAAAAGAUUGUCUAUGUACCCCCCCCGUAUAUAAGCCCCCCCCCUUGUAUAAGCCCAUCAAAAAUCGCUUACGACAGUAUAUAAGCCCAGGGCUUAUAGUCGGAGGUUUACGGUAUAAACUUUAUAACCACAUACAUAUGUUAUAUAUUGUUACAUUAUAUAUAGAAACAACAUAAUCAUUUAUUAAGUCAUGAUAAAAAUAUGAAA